UACAGAGGGGGCAAGCGUUGUUCGGAAUUACUGGGCGUAAAGGGCGCGUAGGCGGCCCGCUAAGUCGAACGUGAAAUCCCCAGGCUCAACCUGGGAACUGCGUCCGAUACUGGCAGGCUUGAAUCCGGGAGAGGGAUGUGGAAUUCCAGGUGUAGCGGUGAAAUGCGUAGAUAUCUGGAGGAACACCGGUGGCGAAGGCGGCAUCCUGGACCGGUAUUGACGCUGAGGAGCGAAAGCGUGGGGAGCAAACAGG
rnacentral:rRNA from 1 species